UCUGCCCCUAGAAAGCAAGUGUGGCUACUGUGUCGCAUGUGUCGGUAGGUGGCAGAAAGGAGAGAAGCUAUGUCAAUAUUUAGUGGUCUGACUUGUGUAAGACUGAAUCACUAGUAGCCUGACAUU